UUUUUGAACUCUUCGGUUGCUGUAUAGGUCUCAAUUGAGUAUGGAUUAUGUGAAGUAUUAAGUAGGGAAGCUAUAAGUCCUAAUUUGGCUCCUAAAGACGGGAACUGGGGUUUCGAUAUCUCCAAACUUGAAGAGACGCUCCCGGCUGGGACAGUGGAUCACUCUGCAGAACGUGUGUACCAAGAGUUGCCCAAGUGGGAGGAGUCUUUGAUGGACGCAAGGGCUCGGUGUCUAAACAGGUUAUUCAUGCACUGGCAGACAAUAUCCUCGUGAAAACUUGUUGCUUAUCACACAUGGGGAAGGAGUUGGCAUUGCAGUAUCUGCAUUUAUGAAGGACACAACUGUGUAUGAAGUAGAAUAUUGUGGAUAUGCACACACAGGAAGA